UGAAAGGGAAACGAUUGAAGUCAGUCGUACCGACGGGAAUUCAACUUCUCGAGUGCUAAUCGUGGGUGACGUUGAGCCUCACGGCCRUUCGUUGCUUGUGUUGUUGGUGCUUUUGGGGUGUACUUUUCCGUAUUGGUAGGUCAGCAUCGAUUUCGAUCGUCAUAAAAUGAUCGGGGGAAUGUAGCUUCGGUCUCGUAUCGGAGUGUUAUAGACCUUGGUAGAUGUGACGAUUGGGAUCGAGGAUUGCAACGAAUACCUCUGGGCUAUCCGUCUGACCUCUGAAAGUCGCUCGGGUGUCGAAAGCGUGCUUAUGGCUAUUCGAGUUGGCGGUCAAUAGGUUAGAACGUGAUUAUAUUCGUUAAGGAUGUUGACGUA
rnacentral:rRNA from 1 species